GAUGAGCUUUAUGAUCCCUGCCAACCCAAACCAUUCCAGGAUUUCAUGACCUGUGAGAGAAAGGCCAGUUUUGGUGGAUGACCAUGCCCACAUGUGUGUUUGUGCUACCAAAGGAUUCAUUACUCCAUUUUCUGCGCUGGCAGGCUUUUGUCUUCACACACAGAUUGUUUUCCUGCUUCACUUCACACACAGGUCACUUUCCUGGACACUCACAACACAAAAACAAUCUUGUUUUUCCCCUUCUCUCUUACCCCUCUCCAUGAAAUGCAGGACCCUCCACGAGGUGCCUGAACUCAUCCCAGUGGUCGCCACAGAGCCCUGCCAAGAAAACCUGCAGUGGGGAGCAUCCAGCAGCCCUGCUGGAGCUCAGCAAGGAAUGAGAUGCUGCUCCCAAUCUCCCUGGAUCACCAGGAACGAGCUGAUUUCUGCCAGCGGGAGUUGGUUAAAAGCACAAACCUGAGGUGUCCCCUGGAGUCAGUGACAAUCUCCUGCAGAAGGAUGGCAUGUUCCAGCCUUGGACUUCUCAUCCAUCUGGAGACCUCCAGGCCUUGGCCCCUUGGAUUUUUUCCUUCAGAUCAAUCCAAGUGGAAAGUGUUUCAGAAAUGCCAGCCUUGCUGUUCCACGUUCCCUCUGUUCAACACAGCACCUUCCACUCUCCCAGAGUUCUAGGAGUUAUUCAGAUGUCCAGCACCAUGGAGCUCCUGAUGCCUGUUCCUAGCUGGAUGCACCUCUCAAACCACCUCCUUUGAGGGAAUGUGGAGAUAUAGAUGCUUCUGCGGGGUUCUUGAUGAGCCUUUUGUCACUAAUGCAGGUUUCUGACAGGGUUAGUCGGUGCUGAUCACACGAAAUUUUGCAGCAGACCUCGUUUAAAAACCUCACUCCCAAGGCACUGGGAGCUGCAUCCCUGGGCAUGGAUCUGGACUGCCUGGAAUGCCUUCAUGGAUUGGACUGGAUGAUAUUUAAAGGUCCCUUCCAGCCCAAACUGUUGUGUAAUUUUAUGAAAUACUCACUGUUUGAUGGGGUGGAUUGGAUGAUCUUUGAAGGUCCCUUCCAACCCAAACCAAUAAUUUCCAUGUAAUAUUCACUGUUUGGCAUCUCUGUGUGUCAGAAAUGCUGUUUUUUUAAGUGGACAAUGGCCACACUCAGGGGAAGAGGGAGGGACAUGGAAUCACAGAAUCACUGCCUUGGAAGGGACCCACAAGGAUCAUCAAAGCCCAGCUCCUGUGCUUGUUGGGAAUGAGCUUUUCUCGUCCCCAGCUCUUCCCCUCCUUGCUUUUCCUUGAGCUAUUUCUUCUGACAAUUCCACAUGAGUGCUGAAAGGAGUUGUUCAAGUGGCAAAAACACUGGGGUGGGGGGGGGGGGGGUGUGGAAAAAAAAAACCUUUCCAGCUUUAUUUUCCCAACAAAAUCUGAAUAUUUUUUUGAAGAGGAAAAAAAAAAAAACACCUAAAAAUAUAAAUAAAUCCCUUUUGUUUGCAAAUCCCUGGUGGGAGUUGAGCUGAAAUGUUCCUGAGUGACUCAUUCCUGGGCAGCCCUUUGCCUUUUCGGAUGGAAACUUGUCCUCAGCAGAUUUUCUGGUAUUUUCUAACCUGCCUGUAAGGAGGUGUUUCUUUUGUGGACUGAGGUAAAGGAGGCGCCUGCUUCUCCUGUGAAAUUCCCACAUCUGCCAUCAAAGGAUGACUGUUUCUCCUGUAAAAUGGUGAUAAAAGUUCCAUCGGUGUUUUC